AGACCAGGGAGGCCCCAGUGCCCAGUGACCCAGCCUAAAGGAGGCUGUUCCGUGAAGGAAGGGGGACAGGGACUGCCAGUGUCUUCUGAGCUGACCACUCCCCGCUCAGCCCAGCUGCAGGACUGAAAGAUGAGAGCCUGUUCCAGAGCCCUUCAGCAACUCUGGGCAUUCCCUGGCUGGGUUGCAUUCCCACUUGUCCCUCAACAUAGCUCAGGGUAUCUUGCCCGCAGGCGGCGUGGGCUCAGACUGCGAUGUCACAUCAGCCCCAUUCAUCCUGCUCUAUGUGCCUUCAUCCUUCACUCCUCAUGAUGACCAUGCAAUCUCAGAACUGUACCCAUUUUACAGAGGAGGAAGCUGAGGCUCACACAGCAAGCAACUUGCCCAGAGUCACCUGUCCACUAAGUAAACAAGUCAUAAUUGGACCCAGGCAGUUGAAUUCAGAGCCUCCUUCUGAACCAUGUUGGCCUUGGGCCUUGUGUGACAAGCAGCAGGAAGGUGAGGGUACCUGACAGAGGACGGUGCUAGAGGACUGUGUUCUGUUCUAGGCUCCGGACGUGGCCAGAGUGUGUUCAGAGGAGCCCGACUCCACGUCGUCUGUACAUCUUCAAGUUCCAAACCUAAGCCUCUGCCUCUAUCCAGCUCUGCCUCCCAUCACAAGCCUCCUGCGUUUCUCUGAAUCUCCUGGUCCCACCACUUCAUCCUCUGAAGCCCUCUGCUGUCUUCUCCAUCCUUUCCUACUUCCACGUCCUGCACUCCUGUGUGGUCGAAUCCAGAGAUCAGUCCUUUCCCCACCAGAGGCUGGUUGCAGUCAAGUUCAUCUGGAGGGCUCGGGGCACCCCUCUGGCCAAGCCUUCAGUCACAGAACCUUCAGCUACUCUCCCUCACUCAGGCUCAAAUUCCAAAAGCUCCCACAGGGCUUCAUCUGCUUGGACUCCAAGCUUGUGGUCAAAGGGCAGACUCGGCUCAGGGAUCUCCUGGGGGAACUUCCCAACACUGGCUGUCCCUCAGGCACAAACAACUCAGAAGCCACAUCUGCAGAGGAAUCAUUUUGUCCAAUGGCCUUACUAUACAGAUGGGGAAACUAUGGCCCAGAGAGGGGAAGGGGCCAGCCCAAUACCACACAGCCAGGCACUGAGAGCAGAGCUGGGGCCGGAGCCUAAGUGCCCCUGUCUUCUCUCGCCAGCAUCCCUUCCCACUGCUCCAUGUGCAGUCAGCACCCAGCCUUCCCAGGAUCUCUGCCUGCCUGCCAGACCCUGAGCUUACAUUGCCUUUUCCCCAGCUUUGUUUCUCAAAACCAUUAUUUGAAAACCGUUUUCCUUGCUGGGACCCCCAGGCUCUCGGAAUUGCAAAAUCAAAGCCCCAUAGAAUGAGGAAGAAGCACUGCCUAUGUAGAAGCCGGGGAGACUGCCCCAGACUCGGGCGCCGUGGUGAAGCUCGGGCUGAUAGGAUGUUAACUCUGUUCGCUCCCUCUGCCCCUUCUUCCCCCAGUUGACUACAACAACAAGGAAUCCUAGAAGCCAACAGGACCACAGAAUUAGAGCCGAUGAGCUGGAUGGAUGCUUAGAGAUCAUUGACUCCAGCCCCUGUGCAGAUGGGGAAAUUGAGACCCAGAGAAUCUGUGUCCAAAAGGACAGAGUCUUACAAGAGAGCAAGACCCCCAGAUGCAGCAUCCCGCUGGGGAAAUGUCCCAGAGGCCCCCAUCCACCAAUCCCAGGUCUCCUGCUGGUGCUUACCUUUCCUGGGAUCUGGUCCAGGUGUGGCUCCUUGGGGCCUGGAGAUGGGAACCAGCCUGUUUGGU